UAGUGGUGAAUCCGCCGGAAAAUCUCAGAACACCUCCGGCAAAGCUCCACCGCUAAGUUAUUCAGUGCCCUCACUCCUGGGUUGGGAGAGUCUGACCUGCGAUUUCUGUAAUGCACUUUUGGGAAGAAAGUAGCAGAGCUAGCUCAUCUUUGAACAGAUCAAGCUAUGGCCAUGAAAUCUGCUAAAUCGUCCGGAAAGUAUCAUGUUGCUGUACAUUUCACUGACAUCUCCUCCGUCCAGCGAGUCAGAACUAAGCUUUGAGCUUCUCCUUAUCGGCGAACAGACAUCCAUAUGAUUAUUAACAGAAAAUAUUAGAACUGGAAUAUAAACUUAAUCGUCAUGGAAAGCCUCCUGCAUCUGAAACUGGGGUAAAAUGGUGUAUUUUUGUAUCUUUAAUUUCUAUUCUUAGA